GUGAGGAAUAUUGCGCAAUGGGGGCAACCCUGACGCAGCAACGCCGCGUGAGUGAGGAAGGUUUUCGGACCGUAAAGCUCUGUCGAGCGGGAAGAAAUGCAUGGUGGCUAAUAUCCAUCAUGCUUGACGGUACCGCUAAAGGAAGCACCGGCUAACUCCGUGCCAGCAGCCGCGGUAAUACGGGGGGUGCUAGCGUUGUUCGGAAUCAUUGGGCGUAAAGAGCGUGUAGGCGGCUGGAUAAGUCAGAUGUGAAAGCCCUGGGCUUAACCCAGGAAGUGCAUUUGAAACUGUUCAGCUAGAGUAAGGGAGAGGAAAGUGGAAUUCCUGGUGUAGAGGUGAAAUUCGUAGAUAUCAGGAGGAACACCGGUGGCGAAGGCGACUUUCUGGCCCUAUACUGACGCUGAGACGCGAGAGCGUGGGUAGCAAACAGGAUUAGAAACCCCAGUAGUCC
rnacentral:rRNA from 1 species